CCCUUAGAUGUUCUGGGCCGCACGCGUGCUACACUGAGUGGAUCAGCGGGUCAGGUUACGCGAGAGCGUUUCCUAAUCUUCAAAUCCGCUCGUGAUGGGGAUUGACGGUUGCAAUUUUCUGUCAUGAACGAGGAAUACCUUGUAAGCGCGGGUCAUCAUCCCGCGCUGAAUACGUCCCUGCCCUUUGUACACACCGCCCGUCGCUCCUACCGAUUGAGUGGUCCGGUGAGGCUUUGGGAUCUGAGCGGAAAGAGCGUUUCGCUGUUUCUGCUCGGAAAACUCAGUCGAACCUUAUCAUUUAGAGGAAGGAGAAGUCGUAACA
rnacentral:rRNA from 1 species